AUGCACCCCUUUGUACACUGAGGUUCCUGCGCGCUGUCAGCCCCCACCCGACAGCGACUCGCGGCGUUUUCUUAGCC
rnacentral:sRNA from 2 species